GGCCUCAGGCCUGAACCGUUCUUUCCACAGAGGUGCUGGGAGGCGUCGCCCCCGCCUUUGGCCUGGAAUGUGCACAUGAUGGUAGGAGCUUGAGCAGCUGUCCUGGACCAUGAGGCAGUCUUGAAGAUGGAAGCCAUCACUAAGAUGGUGUAGUAAAAGGCUCCAGGAUACAGCAGGGAACAAAACAAAGUUCCUGGCCUCCUGGAUUUGCUUUCUAGAGGGAAAUAAGGACAAAAGGAAACCAAGAAAUAAAUAUAUAGUACAAAAGAUGCACGAAUAAAAAUAAUCAAGAUAUGGAGGAUGAAGAGUGCCUGGGGUGUUAUUUAAUAUUGAGUGGUCAGGGGAGGUUUCCCUUAUGAAAUAGCCAAAUGGCUGCUGCAGUUUUGAGUCUCAAAUCUAUAUGUCACAAGGUAUUUAUCCCAGAGAAAUGAAAACCUGUGUUCACAUCAAAAUCAGCAUGAAGCAUUGUUCACAAUAGCCAAACCUAGAAACAGCCUUCAGCGGUGAGUAGUUAAACAAAUUGUGACACAACCAUAUCAUGGAAUACUUUUCAACAAUAAAAAGGAAUAAGCUAUGGAAACAUACAACUUAGAUGGAUCUCAAGGGAAUUAUGCUCAAAAGUCAGUCUCAAAAGGUUAUAUUCUGUAUGAUUCCAUUCACAAUAUUUAGGAAAUGACAAAAUUAUAGAGAUCAAGAACAGAGUAGUGGUGUAUGGUUUAGCAAGAAGGGGGAUGAGGAGGUGUCUGUGACUAUAGAAGGGAUCUUUGUGAUGGAACAGUUCUGUAUUUUGACUAUGGUGUUGAUCACAUGUGUUAUCUAUACAUAUGAUAAAACUGCGUAGAACUCAAUACACACACACAAGUGCAUAUAAAAGCAAGAGAAAUCUGAAUACGGUUGGUGGAUUUUAUCAAUGUCAAUUUCCUACUUGUGAUAUUGUACUAUGCUAUGCAAGUUGGUAACACUGGAGGACAUUCGGUGAAGAGUAUACUGGGUUUCUAUUAUUUCCUGCAACUGUAUGUGAAUCUACAAUAAUCUCAGAAUAAAAAGUUAAAAAAAUU